UAAUAAAAAGAUAACCCGUUUUUUUAAACGGCAAAUGAUUUGAAUAAAUAAUUCUCUAAAAAAUAUUAAAAUGGUCAGUAAAUACAUGAAAAAAUGCUCAACUUCAUCAGCCACCAGGGAAAUGAAAAUCAAAACUACAAUGAGCUAUCACUUCACACCUACUAGAAUGGCUAUAAGUUUUAAAAAUAUUAAAUAAUAAGUGUUGACAAGAAUGUAGAGAAAAUGGAACCCUCGUAUAUUGCUGAUGGGAAUAUAAAAUAGCGCAGCAAACUGGAAAACAGUUUGGCUGUUUCUCAAAAACUUAAACAUAGAACUACCACAUGACCCCAUAUUUAUACUCCUAUAUGUACCCCCAAAGAAAUGAACACAGAAACCCAAAAAGAUACUUCCAAGUGUAAGUUCAUUGCAGCAUUUUUCACGAUAGCAAAAAUGUGGAAACCACCCACAUGUCCAUUAAGAGAAGAAUGAAUUAAAAUUGAGGUAUAAACAUAUAUUGGGAUAUUACUCAGCCAUAAAUAGGAAAGAAGCUGUAAUAUAUGCUACAACAUGGAUGAAUCUUAAAAGCAUUAUGCUAAGAGAAAUAAUCCAGAAAAAAAAUACACAUGUAUAAUUCGUUAUUAUAUGAGACAUGUAAACUAGGCAAAUUCACAGAGAUUGAUAGUAUCAGAGGCCACCAGUGGGUGGGGGCAGGGGGAAGUGGGGAGUUAUUGAUUAAAAGUAUGAAGUUUCCAUUUGGUAUAAUGAAGAUUUUCUGGUAAAAAAAUUAUGGUAAUGCUUGUACAACAUUAUGAAUAGAAUUAGUAUCAUUUAAUUCUACACUUAAAAUUGCUAAUUCAGCACAUUUAUCUUAUGUGUUAUACCAUAUCUAAAGAGAUCUUUGGGAAAGAAACACUUGCCCUGAUCAGAUAGUCCUCAUACUCAUGUACACACCCUUCAUGACCUUCUGUACAAAGGGACACAAAGAUUUAGGGACAUGAGACAGUUCAGGCAACUGCAGAUCCACAAAAUAUAUGUAUUUGCAAAGAGAAUGAGAGUUAAGCUGGGGGUACAGACCCCAGACAUGGAGAGGGUCCCCCUGAAGCCUUCCCCAAGGACAGCAGAGCCCAGAGCCUCCCACCUCCUUCCAUCACAGUCCUCUCUUUCCAGGACACACAGGACACCUCCCUCCACACCUAGGAGCUGGGGAUCCUCCCGAGACCCCAGGCCUGGGUCUCUGUCCCUGGGCCAGAGGCCAGGCUGGUGACACUGAAGAUAGCAGGUGGGUCCUUCCCAGCCAUCACCCAAUGAGCCCCUUUCUAGCCCCCAGAGCCACCUCUGUCACCUUCCUGCUGGGCAUCAUUCUGCCUUCCUGGAGCACUGGAGAGCAUGAGGAGACCCAGGGCCCAGCUGAUUUUCUGUGUCACAAAGGGAAAUAAUCUACCUGCUGUGACAGAACCAAGGCCAGAACACAGCAGAGCCUCACUUUUAACCUUCUGGAACGCGCCCACCACUGCCAGGCUCUUUAUUGUAUCAGUGCCCUUUGAAGUUGCUGAAGGGGAGAAUGUUCAUCUCUCUGUGGUUUAUCUGCCCGAGAAUCUUUACAGCUAUGGCUGGUACAAAGGGAAAACGGUGGAGCCCAACCAGCUAAUCGCAGCAUAUGUAAUAGACACUCACGUUAGGACUCCAGGGCCUGCAUACAGCGGUCGAGAGACAAUAUCACCCAGUGGAGAUCUGCAUUUCCAGAACGUCACCCUGGAGGACACGGGAUACUACACCCUACAAGUCACAUACAGAAAUUCUCAGAUUGACCAGGCAUCUCACCAUCUCCGUGUAUACGAGUCAGUGGCUCAGCCCUCCAUCCAAGCCAGCAGCACCACAGUCACAGAGAAGGGCUCUGUGGUCCUGACCUGCCACACAAAUAACACUGGAACCUCUUUCCAGUGGAUUUUCAAUAACCAGAGUCUGCAGGUCACGAAGAGGAUGGCGCUGUCCUGGUUUAACCAUGUGCUCACCAUAGACCCCAUCAGGCAGGAGGAUGCUGGGGAGUAUCAGUGUGAGGUCUCCAACCCAGUCAGCUCCAACAGGAGUGACCCCCUCAAGCUGACUGUAAAAUAUGAUAACACCCUAGGCAUCCUGAUCGGGGUCCUGGUUGGGAAUCUUCUGGUGGCUGCACUGGUGUGUUUCCUGCUCCUCCGAAAAGCUGGCAGGGCCAGUGAUCAGAGUGACUUCAGAGAGCAGCAGCCCUCAGCCUCCACCCCCGGCCACGGACCCUCUGACAGCUCCAUCUCCUAGCCGGCUCCUUACUUUCUGGCCUCACGAGAUGCUCCAGGCUCCGCUUGUGCUUUCCUGCCCCAGCCCUGGAAUCAGUUAUUUCUCCCAGGAAGCCCUGGUUCCUUUCAUGGGAGAAUGAUGUUUACGACCACAGGCACUACUACACCCGUUGCUGUAAUACCUGUUCCUUACUUUCUGUCCUCCUUACUUUCUGAAGCCCAAGCUCCUCUCCACAGAGGAGGACAGAGCGGACAGCAGAGACCAUGGGGGCCCCUCUCAGCCCCUCCUCACAGAAUGCACGUCCCUGGCAGGUGCUUCUGCUCACAGCCGGAUUGAACUCCAACAGAGCUCUUAGCCAACAACCUCAGCCAUUGGAAAAUAAAUCCCAGGUUGUGAAGGGCCCUGGGAAUGCUCAUGAGCUCAUCCACAGGAGUCAGCAGCCUGUCCAAAGCACUGGAGUGCAACCAAGAUCACACAAGUCCCUGUUCUCACAGAGCUCAUGCUCUCAUAGGGAGGAAAACAGACAUGCAAGGAUAUCUAGAAUGUGAGGUCAACUGUUGACAAGAGCCCUGGAAGGAACAGAACAGGGAAAGGUCAGAAAGGGAAGACCCAGGGUCUCUAGAGGUGUCAGGAAAGGGGUCUCCCAAGGAUGCCCUAAAGUGAGCAGGACCUGAAGGCAGUAGGAAGGGAGCCAUGCAGACCCCUGGGGAAAAGGACUCCAAACAGGGAAAUGCCAAGGUCAGAGGAACUGAAGGAAGGGAGAUCAUGCUGCUGACCUUGACCCAAUAGGACACACACAUACACACACAGACACACUCCAAGGCUGAGGGAUUAAUAGACCUGCCCAGGACCUAGGGCCCCAUCUUUCCAACUCAAUGUAUAGGGCCCAGUAUUAACUGAUGCUCUCUCCCCACUCCUAGCCCACUUUUAACUUUCUGGAACUUGCCUACCACUGCCCAAGUCACUGUUGAAGCUGCAGAAGGCAAGGAGAUUCUUCUUCCGCUCACCCACAAUCUGCCUUAGGCUUGGCUACAACUGGUACAAAGGGGAAUUACAGGAUAUGUACUAGGAACUCAAGUAAUUACCCCAGGACCUGCCACAGGGGCUGAGAGACAAUAUACCCCAAUACAUCUCUGCUGAUCCAGAAUGUCACCAACAAUGACACAGGAUCCUACACCCUACAAGUCAUAAAGACAGAUCUUGUGAAUGAAGAAGUAACUGGCCAGUUUCACGUACACAAGACCGGUUCUUGCUCUGUCUCCCAGGUUGGAGUGAAGUGGCUACUCACAGACCACUGAGGCGUUGUAUUCUCCCCACGGAGGUGUGGAAUCCUAAGAAGAAAGGAGCUGAACCAGUGGUUGUGAAGCAGCAUCAUUCAUCUGGGGUAAUACUCGAGCUCCUGUGUCAGUUGGUCUGGGGUCCACAGAUACCUUAAGGCCCCAGGGAUGGAGGAGAAGACGUGCCCUCAGCCCACUUUCGGUCGAGCACCUCCACUGAUUGUCCACAGGGUCAGCGGCUCAGACCCCAUCUGAGGCAGCAACACCAGAGUCACAGAAGAAAAGGAUGCUCUGAUCCUGACCUGCCCCAAAGAUGACUCUGGAACCUUAUCCAGUGGAUCUUCCAUGACCAGCAUCUGUGACUCAUGGAGAGAAUGGAGCUGUCCCAGGGCCACUGUAUGCUCAGCAUAAACCCCAUCAGGAGAGAGGAUGCUGGGAAGUAUAAGUGUAAGGCCUCCACCGAGGUCAGCUCCAGGAAAAAUGACCCUCUCAGGCUGACUGUGAAAUAGGAGACAUCUGAGUCCCCUCUUAGGAGUUAUUAAACCCUAAAUCA